GGGACUGUAGCUCAGCGGUAGAGCGGCACUCUUAUAAGGUGUUGGUCGAUGGUUCGAAUCCAUCCAGUCCCACCA
rnacentral:tRNA from 1 species